rnacentral:rRNA from 1 species
CAUAGCUUUUUGAUUAUAAUUUAAAGCAUGAUCUGCUCAGUGAAGAGUUAAAUAGCCGCAGUAUUUUGACUGUGCGAAGGUAGCAUUAUAAUUUGGUUUUUAAUUAAAAUCUGGUAUGAAUGAUUUUACGAGAAUUUGACUGUCUCAUUUUUAUAGAGUUAAUUUUUCUUUUAAGUUAAAAGACUUAGAUUUAGUUUUUAGACGAGAAGACCCUUUAGAAUUUUAUUAUUAUUAUUUAUUUAUUUUUGAUUUAAAUCAAUUUGUUAAUUUGGUUGGGGUGAUUAGAAGAUUUAAUAAACUCUUUUUUAAAGAUCAUUGAUUUAUGAUUUUUUGAAUUAUUAUUUAUAGUUUAAGCUAAAUUACCUAAGGGAUAACAGCGUGAAAUUAUUUUAAGUUCAUAUUUAAUUUAAUUUUUGCGACCUCGAUGUUGGAUUAAAAUUUAUUUUAGAAGAAGAAUUCUAAGGAUUUGGUCUGUUCGACCAUUUAAAUUUUACAUGAUCUGAGU